ensembl:snoRNA
UGCUGCCUUGUCAAAUUCAGUGCUUCCUCUACAAUGGACCGUACUGGCCAUAAUGACUGCCACAGUGAAACUGUAGUUAUCGGACUCACAACCAUACAGAAUGAGUGUUAGGGAUGAACUUGAACUACAGAGAAUU